UCUUGAAAUUUAAGAAUUUGGCGGUAAUUUAGUCUUGUCAGAGGAACCUGUUCUUUAAUCGACAAACCACGUAGAAUUUCACUUGCUUUUAAAGUUUGUAUACCGUCAUUAUCAGAUAAUUUUUAGAGAACAAAUUGUCGAUUUUUGAAUUAAAUUAAUAAAAAUUAGAUCAAGGUGCAGCUAAUAAGUAAGUUAGAAUGGGUUACAAUAAAUUUCAUUUAAUACGGAGUUAUACUUGAAAUAGUAUUAUAAAGGAGGAUUUGAUUGUAAUGUAGAUUUAAUAAGUCAUAAAGAUAUAAGCUCUAAAUUGUGUACAUAUCGCCCGACGCAAAAA
rnacentral:rRNA from 1 species